rnacentral:rRNA from 1 species
CAUGGUGGAUGCCUUGGCAUCAAGAGCCGAUGAAGGACGUAGGAGCCUGCGAUAAGCCCUGGGGAGUUGGCAACCGAGCUGUGAUCCGGGGGUGUCCGAAUGGGGAAACCUGGCUGGAGUCAUGUCCAGUCACCUGCACCUGAAUAUAUAGGGUGUUGGGGAGGGAACGCCGGGAAGUGAAACAUCUCAGUACCGGCAGGAAGAGAAAACAACAGUGAUUCCGAGAGUAGUGGCGAGCGAAAUCGGAUGAGGCUAAACCCGUGGUGUGUGAUAGCUGACAGGCGUUGCAUUGCGGGGGUUGUGGGAGACGACUUUAUCCAUACUGUCAUGUGGGUGCGCAGUAAGAAACCGUGCGUGAAGCCGAAGUCCGUUGGAAAGCGGUGCCGGAGCGGGUGAUAGUCCCGUAGGCGUAAGCGUGUGGCUGUGUGGUCGUGUUCCCAAGUAGCACGGAACCCCUGAAAUUCUGUGUGAAUCUGGCGGGACCACCCGUUAAGCCUAAAUACUCCUUGAUGACCGAUAG